rnacentral:lncRNA from 1 species
AGAACUGUUGAACUGUUAAGAACCACUGCACCAAGGAGGCUGAGGGUCCGCGGGGAGCGCGGCGGGGCGGGGGCGCGCUCCGCGCCCGCUGCUGCCCCGGGCUUGGCUCUUCCUUUCGCCGCGGCGGACCUGGGGACGAGACAGAACACACGGGACUGGCGGGCGGGCGGCGACAGCGCCCGGGGACAGCCCGGCCCGGCCCGGCCCCGCACGCCCGCCCGCACUCCUCGCUCAGCGCCGCCACUUACUGAUGGCCACCGUCCCGCGAGCAUCCCCGGCCGUGCGCCGGGGCUGGGAGAGCUUGACGGCAACACGCUCUCGUUACAAAGUGGAAAGAAAAACAACAACAACAACAAAAAAAUAACCCAAAACAACCAACCAACCAAAAAAAAAAAGUUUAAAAAGAACAAACGAAACAAAACCAGCCAUUCUCCAGAGGGGCCUGGCGGCAGCCCGGGCCGGGCCCCGCGGCCGCUCCCCGCCGCCCGUGCGCCGCGGCCGCCCCUGUGCCGCGCCUGGCGCGCGGGGCCCUUUUAUACCCGCGCGGGACCUCGCGGGGAUGAGCCGUCCCCUGCGCGGCAGCCUGGAAUGCUGCCCUCGCCCCUCACACGACCAGUUUUUCCAGGCUGCCUUCGCACUGACGGGGCGGUUUUGUUUCCAGCCAUCAUCUGGGGCGGCCGAACGUCAGCAGGUAGAGAAGGACAAACCUGUUCCGAGGCGGCGCGUUUCCUCCCUCCCUCUCUCCUCCCGCCGCCCUCCUGCCCUCCGCCCUGCCACCGGGGGAAACUGCUCGACAGGUUUCGCCGAAGCUGGAGGUGGCUCCGGGGACUAAACAGGUCCAGCUUCCUUGGUCUACUCAUAAAAGAGAUGCUCCAGUCUUCUGAUGUGGCCUCUGCUGGACCCUCUGCAGUAGCUCCUUGUCUGUCUUGUACUGUGGAGUCCAGAACUGGACACAGAGAUGUGUGCAUGAUAAAUUAAUCCACCAAGUCCUCUUCUGCAAUCAGCUCUCCCUCACCUUUUAAUAUGUGGAGUCUCAUCUAAUUUCACUUUUAAGCCCUUAAAACCAGGAUUUGGGACUGUCAAACACCAAGCACAAGAAGCUAAUGAGAUCUACAACAGUGGCACUAGAGGAGAAACACAUUAAUUGUGCACAUAAACACGUAAUGAUGAGGCUUAUCUGUACUCAGAAGUGCUGCUGAGGAUACUUAGCAGGCAGCUUUGGCCAGGCAAUAUCUCCCCUGGCCACCAUUCUUCUGAUCCCAUGUGGAGGCUGAGGAGAUGUGAAGGAGUACUGUGGCUUGAGAGAGUGGUUAUUUAUUGCUGUGGUAUUUACUGCUGCUGCAAGACAGGGAAUGAUCCCUCAGCCUUUUCCUGCCUCGUUGUGCAACGUGCCACGCAGCAGGUCGCGCAAUGCCGAGGCCUGGCAGGGUCUGCCUACGGAGGUGGCUGCGGAGCAAAGCUGCAGGAUGUUGUUGGUUGGCACCUUCCCAUGGAUUCCCUGUGAUGUGCAGCAGCAUCCUGGAGUGGGAGGAAGGUGCUGGUGUGAAGCUCAAAAUGCCAGUGGGAGUGCGCAAGAUAUGCAGCGGCUGAGCGUGUCCCAACAGGAGAGCCCUGGCAGGGCAGGCUGAGGGGGAAAGGGGCACAGCCUCUGCCCUGCCAGCCUGUGUUAUAACCUCCCGCUAUGCCAGUGCCAGAUUUGGACAUCAAGGACCAAAUCUUUUGACCCUGAGAUUUGAAUCAACUCUUCCCAACUGGAGCCAUGUUAAGUAGUGCUGUUUAGUGUGGUUCGCACUAGACGUUUUGCUGCAAUGAUUCAGGAUUCUUGUCUCAGCUACACUUUUGAGACACGGGCUUCUGGUUCUUCCCAUUCAGCUGAUCACAGGUAAACAAAUGUAUGUAUAAUGAAGUCUCUAAAGUAAUUUUCAGAUAGACACUUUGCAAAAUAAUAAAUCAGGUAGUACGAGAUUUUAUUCUGACUCA